rnacentral:rRNA from 1 species
UACGUAGGGGCCUAGCGUUGUCCGGAAUUAUUGGGCGUAAAGGGCGCGUAGGCGGCCAUGCGUGUCUUCCGUGAAAUCCCUCGGCUUAACUGAGGACGUGCGGAAGAAACUGCAAGGCUUGAGUCCGGGAGAGGGGGGUGGAAUUCCCAGUGUAGCGGUGAAAUGCGUAGAUAUUGGGAGGAACACCGGUGGCGAAGGCGGCCCCCUGGACCGGUACUGACGCUGAGGCGCGAAAGCGUGGGUAGCAAACGGG